AGAUCAAACACAUAUCCCUCCAAAUUCCCAAAACCACUUUUAUCAUUACGCAUUUUGGUUAUUAAAAUGUAAUAAUUUUUUAUAGCCAACUUGAUGAUACAUUGCACCCAACUUCUACUAUAAAUACUUGAUCAAUCGCCAUGCAGAAACUCACCCAGAUCAGAUCAGAGCAUAUAUAACACAAUGGCAGUCUUCAACAAGCAAAGUAACAUGUCUGUGAUAAUGGCGCUGCUGUUUGUAGCAGUACUAUGUUUGAUUGUUGCCUGUGCUGAUGCAGCUAGGUUGCCCCAUGACCCCACGGUUUUUCCUCAAGCUGGGUGUCGGUGCUGUGAGUUCAUAUGGAAGCCGAUGAUCCACUGCGGACGAGUGUGUUGCGAAGAUGGAUGCUGCGGAUGAUCCAUCCAUCCAUCUCAACUUUCUUACAUCAAUCCUAUAUUGUUAUCAACUUUAUUUUUACUUCCUAAUAAAUAAUUAUUGUAUCAAUUUUAUUUUACUUCAUAAUAAAUAAAUAAAUAUCAAAUGUUA